rnacentral:rRNA from 1 species
UGGGGAAUAUUGGACAAUGGGCGCAAGCCUGAUCCAGCAAUGCCGCGUGUGUGAAGAAGGCCUUCGGGUUGUAAAGCACUUUUAUCAGGAGCGAAACGCUGUCGGCUAAUACCCGGCGGAACUGACGGUACCUGAGGAAUAAGCACCGGCUAACUUCGUGCCAGCAGCCGCGGUAAAUACGAAGGGUGCAAGCGUUAAUCGGAAUUACUGGGCGUAAAGCGUGCGUAGGCGGUUUCUUAGUCUGCUGUGAAAUCCCCGGGCUCAACCUGGGAAUGGCAGUGGAUACUGGGAGGCUAGAGUGUGUCAGAGGGUGGUGGAAUUCCCGGUGUAGCGGUGAAAUGCGUAGAGAUCGGGAGGAACAUCAGUGGCGAAGGCGGCCACCUGGGACAACACUGACGCUGAGGCACGAAAAGCGUGGGGAGCAAACAGGAUUAGAUACCCUGGUAGUCCACGCCCUAAACGAUGCGAACUGGAUGUUGGUCUCAACUCGGAGAUCAGUGUC